rnacentral:rRNA from 1 species
UACAGAGGUCUCAAGCGUUGUUCGGAUUCAUUGGGCGUAAAGGGUGCGUAGGCGGCGCGGUAAGUCGGGUGUGAAAUCUCGGAGCUUAACUCCAGUAACUGCAUUCGAUACUGCCGUGCUUGAGGACUGGAGAGGAGACUGGAAUUUACGGUGUAGCGGUGAAAUGCGUAGAUAUCGUAAGGAAGACCAGUGGCGAAGGCGGGUCUCUGGACAGUUCCUGACGCUGAGGCACGAAGGUCAGGGGAGCAAACGGG